UUAUUGUCUGCACUUCACUUCUGCUCUAGAUUGCUUCCCUUUAAAAUAAACCUGCAUGUAUACUAAAUAUCGGCUCUGUGAUAAAUGGCAUGUUAUGUUUCUACAUUCUUUUAUGAUGAUGGCAGUUCAGCAGAGUUGGAUCAGACCUCCUGUGGGACAACAUCUCUAAGGCUCUAUGAACCAUAUGACUGAUGCUGGGAUAGGCUUCAGCCCCCACGACCCUAGAGAGGAUAAGUGGUUUGGAGAGUGAACAGAUGGAUGGAUGACCUUCCAAAAUUCUUUGACUUGCUUUGAUUUUGUUUCUAUUCUUACUGCUGUUCAGCUUAAAACUACCUUUCCAUUAUCUUUGUUUGUCAUUUUGCAUCAUUAUACCUGUGCUAAACCUAUGAAAAUUAAGAAACAAAUGAAAGUAUCUUUUUUUUAUCAAUUUUUUUUUGUUGUUGUUACAGGAUCCUAUGUAUCCAGCCUCAACCAUUCAUCAAAAGGACUGUGAAAGAAGGAAUUCUUUGAACCACCAGUGGCAGUUUCCAGGGGAUAAAAAAGGGCAUAGUGGAUAAUGGGGAACCGUGCCUGACGUGGCGCUGGCGCGCUGCUGCUGCUGAAGGUGACAUAGAGGGAGGCCGCUGACAGACCAGGCUCUUGUCUUCAUGACAACAAUUUCAACUUUUUUCACACACAUACACCUUCCAAAAUCCGAAAAAUGGGGCGUGAGUGCUGAAUACUGGAGUCUCAUUCAAAUGCUGCAGCGGAGGGAGUUGCCAUGGAAACGGGGCAACAACACCAACUGACAAACUUCCCUCGCAGCUGUUUUCACUUCUUUCAGUUCAGCAGAGUUGGAGCAGACCUCCUGUCGGACAACAUCUCUAAGGCGCUAUGAACCAUAUGACUGGAUCUUGUGAGAAGUACUUCAUCUGAUACUGCCGCGAAGUUUCCCCUCCAUCCUCUCCACCACCACCAGGUUGGCUCUGUCCAUGCGGGGGAUCCUAUGUGUCCAGCCUCAUCCAUUCAUCAAAAGGACUGUGAAAGCAGGAAUUCUUUGAACCACCAGUGGCAGUUUCCAGGGGAUAAAAAAGGGCAUAGUGGAUAAUGGGGGUACUGACAUUAACCUGCUGACAUUAACACUGUAUUACACAUUCUUGUCAGUUUUUCAGUACUGGUGGUUUUGAUUUUGUCUGGAUGGCAUGCUCUCCUAAAACUAACUAGUCAAAGCUCAGGUACCACCCAAAAUGCUGCCAUUACCAGUCAGAAAAAGAGAAAUAUAUAGUCAGGUUAUCAUCGAGUACUCAGACUUGACAGCGAUGAUUGAUCAUGAAACCGAUGAUUGCAGUGACUUUAAAAAAUUAUGAAUCAUUGCUAAGUCUGAGUACUCUAGUACUUGUGCACAUCCCUAUUAAACACAUAAACAUAGUAUUGAGGUAUGAUGUAUACUGAAUUGAUGUAUACUGUAAAUACAAAAACAUUUUAAU
ensembl:lncRNA